UACGAAGGGGGCUAGCGUUGCUCGGAAUCACUGGGCGUAAAGGGCGCGUAGGCGGCCAUUCAAGUCGGGGGUGAAAGCCUGUGGCUCAACCACAGAAUUGCCUUCGAUACUGUUUGGCUCGAGUAUGGUAGAGGUUGGUGGAACUGCGAGUGUAGAGGUGAAAUUCGUAGAUAUUCGCAAGAACACCGGUGGCGAAGGCGGCCAACUGGACCAUUACUGACGCUGAGGCGCGAAAGCGUGGGGAGCAAACAGG
rnacentral:rRNA from 1 species